rnacentral:rRNA from 1 species
CAGCAGCCGCGGGAAUACCGAGGGUGCGAGCGUUAAUCGGAUUUACUGGGCGUAAAGCGCGUGUAGGCGGGCCGCCGCGUCGACUGCUGAAAUCCCCCGGCUCAACCGGGGAACGGGCAUCGAUACGGGCGGCCUCGAGGGGGGUAGGGGGACCUGGAACUUCCGGUGGAGCGGUGAAAUGCGUUGAGAUCGGAAGGAACGCCCGUGGCGAAAGCGAGGUCCUGGACCCUUUCUGACGCUGAGACGCGAAAGCCAGGGGAGCGAACGGGAUUAGAUACCCCAGUAGUCCCUGUCUCUUAUA